rnacentral:rRNA from 1 species
UAACUUUCAACAACGGAUCUCUUGGCUCUCGCAUCGAUGAAGAACGCAGCGAAAUGCGAUAAGUAAUGUGAAUUGCAGAAUAGUGAAUCAUCGAAUCUUUGAACGCACCUUGCGCCUCGUUGAGGCAUGCCGGUUUGAGCGCCUUAU